CAGCGCCGCGCUUACCUCGCAGUCCUCGUACUUGAUAUUAUCCGUCAGUUUCCAAAGCAUUUUCAUGGAUCGGCGUGAACGGAUUUGCCCCCUCUCCGCCUCGCACCCAAGUGGAGCUACUCUCUGGCUCUUUACCAACCGCCUAAUCGCCUCAUUAGCAUAUCAACAAUAGUCCAAUUGCUCGCCAGCACCACAAUCUGCCGCCGGCCGCUCCGACCCAGGUAUAAAGGCCUCUCCGAGCCGCGAACUUGCUCCUAGAGCGCACGCCCGCCUGUGAGCCGACGAAAUCUCCCCUGAGCCCCACCGCGCCCCUGCCCCAGCACCCCCCGCCCCAUUCCACCUCAUUCAGCUUCCUCUCCAUCUUCUCCUCGCGGGAGAUGUCCUCCGCAAAAGCUGCGCAGGGUCCGAGCGGCCACUCCUGGGGCCCGGCUGCCAGCACCUCUCCCCCACCCCUGCCGCCACUAACGGCGCUGUCCUUUCGGCCCUGUCCAAUUUUAUUAGAAAUUAUUAGCCUUUUCGCAAUUAAACAUAACCACCAAACCAAGACCGGCGAAGUCACUCCAGGAUUUUUGCCCAACAAGAGAUCGCCUCUGCUCGCGGCAGCCGCCACCUCCGGCCGCAGCGCCUCGAGAGUUUUAUUGGCUUUGCGCUUUCCCCCCAGGUGGGAGAUUUUGCCAAAUGGCUCCGGUUGCUCGGCUGGGGUUUGCGAUCCUUUAAUUGCCGCGUGUAAAAUAAAAAUUGUACCCUGAAGAGGUUACUUGACAGCUCCAGGGGUUAAAUGAUUUUCCUCUCGUUUGUAUGAAACUAGGGCCGACUGAUAAUUCAACGUGGCGUCUGGGCUAAGGGUUUCCUAGGUGCGGUGUGGACAAGAAUACAGAACUCCUAUGGAGACUCACUGUCGCUUCUGGAGUGGAGCCGAAAUACCGACAUGUGUGCGCCGUGUCAUGCAUGCAUCAAAAUAAAUCGCUGGGAACCAACUCUUCGCUGUGCUAAUCUGCUCCAGUUUUCCCAAGAUCCCCCUUUUUAAUUAAAGCAGGAGAGUUCCUU